UUGAUUUGGGUUGGGGAAAAGUAAUCCUGGUUUUCAGCAUUAUUUUUAAUGUCCAAAAAACUGCGAUUACUUUUGCCACAACCUGAUAGA
rnacentral:miRNA from 1 species